rnacentral:rRNA from 1 species
UGGGGAAUAUUGCACAAUGGGCGCAAGCCUGAUGCAGCCAUGCCGCGUGUGUGAAGAAGGCCUUCGGGUUGUAAAGUACUUUCAGCGGGGAGGAAGGGAGUAAAGUUAAUACCUUUGCUCAUUGACGUUACCCGCAGAAGAAGCACCGGCUAACUCCGUGCCAGCAGCCGCGGUAAUACGGAGGGUGCAAGCGUUAAUCGGAAUUACUGGGCGUAAAGCGCACGCAGGCGGUUUGUUAAGUCAGAUGUGAAAUCCCCGGGCUCAACCUGGGAACUGCAUCUGAUACUGGCAAGCUUGAGUCUCGUAGAGGGGGGUAGAAUUCCAGGUGUAGCGGUGAAAUGCGUAGAGAUGUGGAGGAAUACCGGUGGCGAAGGCGGCCCCCUGGACAAAGACUGACGCUCAGGUGCGAAAGCGUGGGGAGCAAACAGG